CCUACGGGAGGCAGCAGUGGGGAAUAUCGGACAAUGGGGGCAACCCUGAUCCAGCCAUGCCGCGUGUGUGAAGAAGGCCCUCGGGUUGUAAAGCACUUUCAGUGAGGAAGAACGCCUGGUGGUUAAUACCCAUCAGGAAAGACAUCACUCACAGAAGAAGCACCGGCUAACUCCGUGCCAGCAGCCGCGGUAAUACGGAGGGUGCGAGCGUUAAUCGGAAUUACUGGGCGUAAAGCGCGCGUAGGUGGCUUGAUAAGCCGGUUGUGAAAGCCCCGGGCUCAACCUGGGAACGGCAUCCGGAACUGUCAAGCUAGAGUGCAGGAGAGGAAGGUAGAAUUCCCGGUGUAGCGGUGAAAUGCGUAGAGAUCGGGAGGAAUACCAGUGGCGAAGGCGGCCUUCUGGACUGACACUGACACUGAGGUGCGAAAGCGUGGGUAGCAAACAGGAUUAGAUACCCGGGUAGUC
rnacentral:rRNA from 1 species